rnacentral:rRNA from 1 species
AUUGAACGCUGGCGGCAUGCCUUACACAUGCCAGUCGAACGGCAGCGCGGGAGCAAUCCUGGCGGCGAGUGGCGAACGGGUGAGUAAUACAUCGGAACGUGCCCAAUCGUGGGGGAUAACGCAGCGAAAGCUGUGCUAAUACCGCAUACGAUCUACGGAUGAAAGCAGGGGAUCGCAAGACCUUGCGCGAAUGGAGCGGCCGAUGGCAGAUUAGGUAGUUGGUGAGGUAAAGGCUCACCAAGCCUUCGAUCUGUAGCUGGUCUGAGAGGACGACCAGCCACACUGGGACUGAGACACGGCCCAGACUCCUACGGGAGGCAGCAGUGGGGAAUUUUGGACAAUGGGCGAAAGCCUGAUCCAGCCAUGCCGCGUGCAGGAUGAAGGCCUUCGGGUUGUAAACUGCUUUUGUACGGAACGAAACGGUCUUUUCUAAUAAAGAAGGCUAAUGACGGUACCGUAAGAAUAAGCACCGGCUAACUACGUG